UACGAAGGAUGCAAGCGUUAUCCGGAUUCAUUGGGUUUAAAGGGAGCGUAGGUGGCCUUAUAAGUCAGUGGUGAAAUCUCUCAGCUUAACCGAGAAAUUGCCAUUGAUACUGUAGGGCUUGAGUAUAGUUGCCGUUGGCGGAAUAUGACAUGUAGUGGUGAAAUACAUAGAGAUGUCAUAGAACACCGAUUGCGAAGGCAGCUGACGAAACUAUAACUGACACUGAGGCUCGAAAGUGCGGGGAUCAAACAGG
rnacentral:rRNA from 1 species